AUGGGUCCUCAAAUCUUUACUGCAGCUGUAGCCGACAUCCAUAAAUUAGACGGAUUGCAGGAAUUUAUGUCUCUAAGGGAGUGUUUGAGCUCAUGGAUGAGACUAAAGGAGAAUGUCUGUUUGCAUGUCCUUCUGCAAUACGACACUUGGUGUAAUGCACUUUCUCACGUGACGUACUUCUUCCACAACGCUCUGGAGUUUCUUCCUUUCAACUCCUGUACAAGAGCAACAUUUGUGUGAGUCUUCUCUUUUCAUAGGAUUUUUCCUUCGGCUUGUGUAUACGUCUUUCUUCAAAGGAUUGUUUGUUGGAAAAGCUUUCUGGGAAAUGGCAGUCAAGGAACCAGGAACACCACAAUAAACAGUGUAAUAGAAGACUACUAUACAGACUGAAAAUUCAAAUCUUAGCAAUAAAUGAAAGAGACUGACUUCUACUAGUACUAAAAGGUUGUAAUCGCUGGAAAUUGCCGACUUGGAAAAAUGUUUCAAGAAUCCUAUGAUCAACUUACUAGAAUUACAACAUAUUCUAAUAGAAUCUAAUCUUCAGGAGUGUUCUACUUGUUCAUCGACAUUUAUUCUGCAAAAAUAUCUUGGACCAACAUAAUAAUGAUUGCUUUCUGGAAGGAGAAAAGAUCUAAUAGGCUUUUCUGUAGCCACAUUGAAGCAGGCAUGACAUAUUAAUUGAAAAUGGAAGAAAUACAUUUGCCUCUUGCGGAAGGAUUCAAUGCAGAUGAGUGCAUAUGGUUUGAUAGAUUAUGGACGUUAACAUGUUGACUUGUUCUAUAAAUACUUACAUUAUAGGUAUUUGUUAUACAUAAUUUGUUAUACACGAAAAUUUUACAAAUACACAUUUUUUGUAAUGUGAUGAAUUUCAAUAAAUAAUAGAAUACUAUACAUAAA